rnacentral:rRNA from 1 species
CCUACGGGAGGCAGCAGUGAGGAAUAUUGGUCAAUGGACGAGAGUCUGAACCAGCCAAGUAGCGUGAAGGAUGACUGCCCUAUGGGUUGUAAACUUCUUUUAUAUGGGAAUAAAACGUUCCACGUGUGGGAUUUUGUAUGUACCAUAUGAAUAAGGAUCGGCUAACUCCGUGCCAGCAGCCGCGGUAAUACGGAGGAUCCGAGCGUUAUCCGGAUUUAUUGGGUUUAAAGGGAGCGUAGGUGGAUUGUUAAGUCAGUUGUGAAAGUUUGCGGCUCAACCGUAAAAUUGCAGUUGAAACUGGCAGUCUUGAGUACAGUAGAGGUGGGCGGAAUUCGUGGUGUAGCGGUGAAAUGCUUAGCUAUCACGAAGAACUCCGAUUGCGAAGGCAGUUCACUGGACUGCAACUGACACUGAGGCUCGACAGUGUGUGUAUCAAACAGGCUUAGAUACCCUAGUAGUC